rnacentral:rRNA from 1 species
UACAGGGGGCUCGAGCGUUAGUCGGAAUCACUGGGCUUAAAGGGUGCGUAGGUGGCUCGUCAAGUGUUUUGUGAAAUCCCACAGCUCAACUGUGGAACAGCAGGGCAAACUGGCGAGCUUGAGGCAGGUAGGGGCCGGAAGAACAGUAGGUGGAGCGGUGAAAUGCGUAGAUAUCUACUGGAAUGCCGAUGGGGAAGCCGUCCGGCUGGGCCUGUCCUGACACUGAGGCACGAAAGCGUGGGGAGCAAACAGG